GAUGAACGCUAGCGGCAGGCUUAAUACAUGCAAGUCGUGGGGCAGCAUGAUGUAGCAAUACAUUGAUGGCGACCGGCAAACGGGUGCGGAACACGUACACAACCUUCCUUUUAGUGGGGAAUAGCCCAGAGAAAUUGGAAUAAUUACCCAAUAGGUAAAGAAAAUGCAAUAUUUUAUUAAUAAAACCUCGGGGGCUAAAAAAGGGUGUGCGGCUGAUUAGGUAGUUGGCGGGGUAACGGCCCACCAAGCCUACGAUCAGUAGCUGAUGUGAGAGCAUGAUCAGCCACACGGGCACUGAGACACGGGCCCGACUCCUACGGGAGGCAGCAGUAAGGAAUAUUGGACAAUGGACGCAAGUCUGAUCCAGCCAUGCCGCGUGAAGGAUUAAGGUCCUCUGGAUUGUAAACUUCUUUUAUUUGGGACGAAAAAAGAUCAUUCUUGAUCACUUGACGGUACCAGAUGAAUAAGCACCGGCUAACUCCGUGCCAGCAGCCGCAGUAAUAC
rnacentral:rRNA from 1 species